rnacentral:rRNA from 1 species
CCUACGGGUGGCAGCAGUGGGGAAUAUUGCGCAAUGGGCGACAGCCUGACGCAGCGACGCCGCGUGAGGGAUGAAGGUCUUCGGAUCGUAAACCUCUGUCAGCAGGGAAGAACGGUCACUGUGCUAAUCAGCAGUGCAUUGACGGUACCUGCAAAGGAAGCACCGGCUAACUCCGUGCCAGCAGCCGCGGUAAUACGGAGGGUGCGAGCGUUAAUCGGAAUUACUGGGCGUAAAGCGCUCGUAGGCGGUAUGUCAAGUCAAGGGUGAAAUCACCGCGCUCAACGUGGGAACUGCCUUUGAAACUGGCAAACUGGAGUGUGGGAGAGGAUAGUGGAAUUCGAGGUGUAGGAGUGAAAUCCGUAGAUAUCUGGAGGAACAUCAGUGGCGAAGGCGACUAUCUGGCACAUAACUGACGCUGAGGAGCGAAAGUGUGGGUAGCAAACAGGAUUAGAUACCCUAGUAGUC